GGAUUUUUGACACAGGGGGCAACCCUGAUCCAGCCAUCCCUCGUGUGUGAUGAAGACCUUCGGGUUGUAAAGCACUUUUGUAAUGGAAGAAAUUGCUCUGCCUAAUUCCUAGAGCUCCUGACGGUACCUGCAGAAUAAUCCCCCGCUAACGGAGUGGCAGCAGCCGCGGUAAUACGUAGGGUGCAAGCGUUAAUCGGAAUUACUGGGCGUAAAGCGUGCGCAGGCGGUUCGGCAAGAAGGAUGUGAAAUCCCAGGGCUUAACCUUGGAACUGCAUUCUUAACUGCCGGGCUAGAGUAUGUCAGAGGGGGGUAGAAUUCCGCGUGUAGCAGUGAAAUGCGUAGAGAUGCGGAGGAAUACCGAUGGCGAAGGCAGCCCCCUGGGAUAAUACUGACGCUCAUGCACGAAAGCGUGGGGAGCAAAC
rnacentral:rRNA from 1 species